rnacentral:rRNA from 1 species
CAGCAGCCGCGGGAAUACGUAGGGUGCAAGCGUUAAUCGGAAUUACUGGGCGUAAAGCGUGCGCAGGCGGUUAUAUAAGACAGAUGUGAAAUCCCCGGGCUCAACCUGGGAACUGCAUUUGUGACUGUAUAGCUAGAGUACGGCAGAGGGGGAUGGAAUUCCGCGUGUAGCAGUGAAAUGCGUAGAUAUGCGGAGGAACACCGAUGGCGAAGGCAAUCCCCUGGGCCUGUACUGACGCUCAUGCACGAAAGCGUGGGGAGCAAACAGGAUUAGAUACCCCAGUAGUCCCUGUCUUUUAUAC